rnacentral:rRNA from 1 species
UACGAAGGGGACUAGCGUUGUUCGGAAUCACUGGGCGUAAAGCGCACGUAGGCGGAUGUGUCAGUCAGGGGUGAAAUCCCGAGGCUCAACCUCGGAACUGCCUUCGAUACUGCGGGUCUCGAGUCCGGGAGAGGUGAGUGGAAUUCCUAGUGUAGAGGUGAAAUUCGUAGAUAUUGGGAAGAACACCGGUGGCGAAGGCAGCCAUCUGGACCGACACUGACGCUGAGGCGCGAAAGCGUGGGGAGCAAACAGG